CGGCGGACGGGUGAGUAAUGCUUAGGAAUCUGCCUAUUAGUGGGGGACAACAUUCCGAAAGGAAUGCUAAUACCGCAUACGUCCUACGGGGGAAAGCAGGGGAUCUUCGGACCUUGCGCUAAUAGAUGAGCCUAAGUCGGAUUAGCUAGUUGGUGGGGUAAAGGCCUACCAAGGCGACAAUCUGUAGCGGGUCUGAGAGGAUGAUCCGCCACACUGGGACUGAGACACGGCCCAGACUCCUACGGGAGGCAGCAGUGGGGAAUAUUGGACAAUGGGCGCAAGCCUGAUCCAGCCAUGCCGCGUGUGUGAAGAAGGCCUUUUGGUUGUAAAGCACUUUAAGCGAGGAGGAGGCUCCUUUAGUUAAUACCUAAAGUGAGUGGACGUUACUCGCAGAAUAAGCACCGGCUAACUCUGUGCCAGCAGCCGCGGUAAUACAGAGGGUGCGAGCGUUAAUCGGAUUUACUGGGCGUAAAGCGUGCGUAGGCGGCUUUUUAAGUCGGAUGUGAAAUCCCUGAGCUUAACUUAGGAAUUGCAUUCGAUACUGGAAAGCUAGAGUAUGGGAGAGGAUGGUAGAAUUCCAGGUGUAGCGGUGAAAUGCGUAGAGAUCUGGAGGAAUACCGAUGGCGAAGGCAGCCAUCUGGCCUAAUACUGACGCUGAGGUACGAAAGCAUGGGGAGCAAACAGGAUUAGAUACCCUGGUAGUCCAUGCCGUAAACGAUGUCUACUAGCCGUUGGGGCCUUUGAGGCUUUAGUGGCGCAGCUAACGCGAUAAGUAGACCGCCUGGGGAGUACGGUCGCAAGACUAAAACUCACAUGAAUUGACGGGGGCCCGCACAAGCGGUGGAGCAUGUGGUUUAUUCUAUGCAACGCGAAGAACCUUACCUGGGCUUGACAUACUAAGAACUUUUAGAGAUGGAUUGGUGCCUUCUGGAACUUAGAUACAGGUGCUGCAUGGCUGUCGUCAGCUCGUG
rnacentral:rRNA from 1 species